AUACGGAGGGGGUUAGCGUUGUUCGGAAUUACUGGGCGUAAAGCGUACGUAGGCGGACUGGAAAGUUGGGGGUGAAAUCCCGGGGCUCAACCCCGGAACUGCCUCCAAAACUUCCAAUCUAGAGAUCGAGAGAGGUGAGUGGAAUUCCAAGUGUAGAGGUGAAAUUCGUAGAUAUUUGGAGGAACACCAGUGGCGAAGGCGGCUCACUGGCUCGAUACUGACGCUGAGGUACGAAAGCGUGGGGAGCAAACAGGAUUAGAAAACCUAGUAGUCC
rnacentral:rRNA from 1 species